rnacentral:tRNA from 1 species
GGGGAUAUAGCUCAGCUGGUCAGAGUGCACGGUUCACAUCCGUGAGGUCGUGGGUUCGAGCCCCUCUAUCCCCA